rnacentral:rRNA from 1 species
AUACGGAGGGGGUUAGCGUUGUUCGGAAUUACUGGACGUAAAGCGCACGUAGGCGGACUGGAAAGUUGGGGGUGAAAUCCCGGGGCUCAACCCCGGAACUGCCUCCAAAACUUCCAAUCUAGAGAUCGAGAGAGGUAAGUGGAAUUCCUAGUGUAGAGGUGAAAUUCGUAGAUAUUAGGAGGAACACCAGUGGCGAAGGCGGCUUACUGGCUCGAUACUGACGCUGAGGUGCGAAAGCGUGGGGAGCAAACAGGAUUAGAAACCCUAGUAGUCC